CGACGGGUGAGUAAUACUUAGGAAUCUGCCCAUUAUGGGGGACAACUCGAGGAAACUCGAGCUAAUACCGCAUACGCCCUACGGGGGAAAGCGGAGGACCUUUCGGGGCUUCGCGCUAAUGGAUGAGCCUAAGUCGGAUUAGCUUGUUGGUGAGGUAAAGGCUCACCAAGGCGACGAUCCGUAGCUGGUCUGAGAGGACGAUCAGCCACACUGGGACUGAGACACGGCCCAG
rnacentral:rRNA from 1 species